UUUAAUCACCGGUUCUCAUAUGAUUACCGAAGUUAAGUAUGAUCGCGAUUGAUCAGUACCUAGAUGGGUGACCGUUGGAAAACACCAAGUGCUGUA